rnacentral:tRNA from 1 species
GGGUUGAGUAGCCUAAAAAAGGUGUGACAUUGAAGCUGUUAAGAUGGUAUUUUAUGCCCCAGCCCA